rnacentral:tRNA from 1 species
AGUCUAGGCGGUUAGGAUAGCUGGCUCUCACCCAGCAGACCCGGGUUCGAGUCCCGG